GCCGGAGUGGCGGAACUGGCAGACGCGUUGGAUUCAAAAUCCAAUCCCUGCUAAAGGGGUAAGGGUUCGAUUCCCUUCUCCGGCA
rnacentral:tRNA from 1 species